AAGCAGCCACCAUUUAAAAAAUGCGUAAUAGCUUACUCAUCGAGUGAUCCUGCGCCGAAAAUGAUUGGCGAUCAAGCGUUAUACCGAAGCUCUGGACUUUGCCGCAAGGCAGAGUGGUAGAAGAGCGUUGCAUGCGCGUCGAAGGGCGAUGGCGACUGACCCUGGAGCACAUGCAAGUGAGUAUGCAGACAUGAGUAACGUUAAGCCGGGUGAAAUCCCCGGCCGCCGUAAACCCGAGGUUUCCAGGGCAACGUGUUUCGUCCCUGGGUUAGCCGGGACCUAAGCCGAGGCCGAGAGGCGUAGGCGAUGGACAUCAGGUUAAUAAUCCUGAGCUCGCAACCCUUAAACUGGGGGGACGCAUGAGAAAAGAUGACUAGGUUAUUGAAUUCCGAGUUGAGUCCACGGACUCAGCGCAUCAUUGGAUCGAGUGCCAAGAAAAGCCCCAGCGUAUGCUAAGCGACCCGUACCGCAAACCGACACAGGUGGGUGGGUAGAAUAUACCAAGGCGUAAGAGUGAAACCUGGUUAAGGAACUCGGCAAAUUAGCCCCGUAACUUCGGAAGAAGGGGUGCCUGCAGCGAUGCAGGCCGCAGAGAAAUGGCCCAACCGACUGUUUAUCAAAAACACAGCACUCUGCAAAGACGCAAGUCGAAGUAUAGGGUGUGACACGUGACCAAUGCCGAAAGAUUAAGGCAAGGGGUUAGCCGCAAGGCGAAGCUCUAAACCCAAGUCCCGGUGAAUGUCGGCCGUAACUAUAACGGUCCUAAGGUAGCGAAAUUCCUUGUCGGGUAAGUUCCGACCUGCACGAAUCGUGAAACGAGUUGGGCACUGUCUCAACCAGGCGCUCAGUGAAAUUGUAGUGGCGGUGAAGAUGCCGCCUACCCGCAGAAGGACGGAAAGACCCUAUAGACCUUAACUGUAAGCUGUCAUUGUUUCUUCGGUUUUAAUGCUCAGAGUAAGUGGGAGACGCUGAAGACGCCCUUUAGGGGGCGUCCGAGUCAUCAAUGAGACACCACCCUUUGAAACUGGAGGAUCUAACCCUGAGCCGUGAAUCCGGCCAGAGGACCGUGUCAGCCGGUCAGUUUUACUGGGGCGGUAUCCUCCCAAAGAGUAACGGAGGAGCGCGAAGGUGGGCUCAGCCCGGUUGGCAACCGGGUGUCGAGUGCAUGGGCAUAAGCCCGCCUAACUGUGAGACCAACAAGUCGAGCAGAUGCGAAAGCAGGCCCAAGUGAUCCGGCGGUAGAAAGUGGAAUUGCCGUCGCUCAACGGAUAAAAGGUACCUUAGGGAUAACAGGCUGAUCACGCCCAAGAGUUCAUAUCGACGGCGUGGUUUGGCACCUCGAUGUCGGCUCGUCGCAUCC
rnacentral:rRNA from 1 species